rnacentral:rRNA from 1 species
UACGAAGGGGCUAGCGUUGCUCGGAAUCACUGGGCGUAAAGGGUGCGUAGGCGGGUUUUUAAGUCAGGGGUGAAAUCCUGGAGCUCAACUCCAGAACUGCCUUUGAUACUGAGGAUCUUGAGUUCGGGAGAGGUGAGUGGAACUGCGAGUGUAGAGGUGAAAUUCGUAGAUAUUCGCAAGAACACCAGUGGCGAAGGCGGCUCACUGGCCCGAUACUGACGCUGAGGCACGAAAGCGUGGGGAGCAAACAGG